rnacentral:lncRNA from 1 species
UGCUUGUAAACGGGUGGUGGUGGGGAUUUGUACAUUGGUGGAGGUGGUGGUGGAGACUUGUACUUGUAAACGGGUGGUGGUGGGGACUUGUACUUGUAAAUAGGUGGCGGUGGGGAUUUAUGGACUGGUGGAGGUGGUGGUGGGGACUUGUACUUGUAAACGGGUGGUGGUGGGGAUUUAUAAACUGGUGGAGGUGGUGGUGGAGACUUGUACUUAUAAACGGGUGGUGGUGGGGACUUAUACUUGUAAACGGGUGGCGGUGGGGAUUUAUAAACUGGUGGAGGUGGUGGUGGAGACUUGUACUUGUAAACGGGUGGUGGUGGGGACUUGUACUUGUAAACAGGUGGCGGUGGGGAUUUAUAGACUGGUGGAGGUGGUGGUGGAGACUUGUACUUAUAAACAGGUGGUGGUGGAGACUUAUACUUGUAAACGGGUGGUGGUGGAGAUCUA